rnacentral:rRNA from 1 species
CCUGGCGGCCAUAGCGCCGUGGAACCACCUGAUCCCAUGCCGAACUCAGAAGUGAAACGCGGUAGCGCCGAUGGUAGUGUGGCAUUCGCCAUGCGAGAGUAGGGAACUGCCAGGC